ACAUCUAACAGGAUUGAAAUGGUUCUGCAGAAAAGAGCUGGUCAUGGAAUACGCCCAUAGGUCUCCUAGUGUGGCCUGAGGGUGGGCCCUGCAGCCCAUUUUAACAACCCUCUGGUUGAUUCUCACGGAUGCUCAAGCUUGAGAACCACUUAAAUGUUGACAGAGUUUGAGGUUCUCGAAGAAACAACCCUUUGUAUCCUUUACAAGGAAACAACUAGCCUGUGUUCUGGGUCCACAGUCUGCCCCAUAGGUUGCUCAAAGCUCA